rnacentral:rRNA from 1 species
GACGAACGCUGGCGGCGUGCUUAACACAUGCAAGUCGAGCGGUAAGGCCCUUUCGGGGGUACGACGAGCGGCGAACGGGUGAGUAACACGUGGGUGACCUGCCCUCCAGCUCUGGGAUAAGCCUGGGAAACCGGGUCUAAUACUGGAUAUGACUCCAUGACGCAUGUUGUGGGGUGGAAAGCCUUGUGCGGCUGAGGAUGGGCCCGCGGCCUAUCAGCUUGUUGGUGGGGUGAGGCCUACCAAGGCGACGACGGGUAGCCGGCCUGAGAGGGCGACCGGCCACACUGGGACUGAGACACGGCCCAGACUCCUACGGGAGGGCAGCAGUGGGGAAUCCUGGACAAUGGGCGCAAGCCUGAUCCAGCCAUGCCGCGUGGGUGAAGAAGGCCU